UUGUGCUGUCUUCAUGAUCCUACCAUCAAGAAUGGAAUGGAGAUAUUUUUCAUUUGUUUGUCAAAUGGUAUCCUAUUGUAUUCAAGGAAAUAAAGGCAUUUGUCCAAAUCCACUCAACGACGAUGGAUCAGGGGUGUGCUGUUUAAACUUUUACAGGGAAGGGGAUGUCUGUCAAGAAUGUCCACCCAGAUACUUCCGAUCAAAUUGUUCUCAAAUUUGUCCUGAACCAUAUAACGGAAAGUUAUGUGGUUUUAAAUGCAGUAGCUGUACAAACUGUAACCAUGCUGAUGGUUGUUCAUUA